AUUGAACGCUGGCGGCAGGCCUAACACAUGCAAGUCGAGCGGAUGAAGGGAGCUUGCUCCUGGAUUCAGCGGCGGACGGGUGAGUAAUGCCUAGGAAUCUGCCUGGUAGUGGGGGAUAAUGUCCGGAAACGGGCGCUAAUACCGCAUACGUCCUGAGGGAGAAAGUGGGGGAUCUUCGGACCUCACGCUAUCAGAUGAGCCUAGGUCGGAUUAGCUAGUUGGUGGGGUAAAGGCCUACCAAGGCGACGAUCCGUAACUGGUCUGAGAGGAUGAUCAGUCACACUGGAACUGAGACACGGUCCAGACUCCUACGGGAGGCAGCAGUGGGGAAUAUUGGACAAUGGGCGAAAGCCUGAUCCAGCCAUGCCGCGUGUGUGAAGAAGGUCUUCGGAUUGUAAAGCACUUUAAGUUGGGAGGAAGGGCAGUAAGUUAAUACCUUGCUGUUUUGACGUUACCAACAGAAGAAGCACCGGCUAACUUCGU
rnacentral:rRNA from 1 species